UUUUUCGAAAGGGUUGGUAGCUGGUUAGGGGGAAAAUACAUUUCAGUGUAGAGGUGGUCAAGGUUGAAAAUAUUAUUAUAAUCGAUUUUCCAUUAUUAAGAUUUUCUGGGAUAAGCUAGGAAAUACAAUUAAAUAAAAAAGUAAGUAAGUAGGAUUAGAAGUGUCUACCUUAUAAAAAGUUAGUAACAAGGUAUUUUUUAUCAAACGUUUAUUUAGUACCCUCUGUUUUUUAUUAAUAUUAUAAGAUGCAUAAGUAUAAAAUUAGUAGCUGGCAUUUAACUUGGUGAAUUAAUUAAUAAGCUAUUACUGAUAAUAAAUUUAUUAUUAGUUAUCUAGUAAAAUAAGUUAAUUAUAAUACUCUUCAAAGGAACUCGACAAAUAUUCUCUUCGCCUGUUUAACAAAAACAUGGCUUUUUGUUUAGUCUAAGAUGAAAAGUCGGACCUGCCCAGUGAGAUAUUAAACGGUUGCGACGAGAGUUGUACUAAGGUAGCGCGAUAAUUUGUCUUUUUAUUGGGGAAUGGGAUGAAGGGUUUGACGAAGAGUGAUUGUCUCUGAAGAGAAAAGUGAAGUUUCCUUUUAAAUGAAAAGGUUUAAGUGAUAUUAAAAGACGAGAAGACCCUAUCGAGCUUGAUUAAACAAAGAAUUAAUUACCAAAAGAAAUAUUAUGUUAGUAGAUUGAGUAAAAUUCUAUUGUUAAAGUUUAGUUGGGGUAAGCUGGUUU
rnacentral:rRNA from 1 species